rnacentral:piRNA from 1 species
UGACUGAGAUGGUGGGACUUCAGCUU